rnacentral:lncRNA from 1 species
GUUUUGUUUUAGCAGGCAUCCAGCUAUGUUUUGUUCAGGCUACAAGUUUCUACCUGCCUCCUCUAAGCUCCUGUUGGAAUGUUAGUCCAGUUUUCAAAGCCUUUGCCCUGCCAUUUUGAUCCAUCCCAUGUGAAUGGCAUGCAGGUGCCAGUUUGAAGAUGGAACAGUGGUCUACCAUUCAGUUCAGUUCUUAAAGUUUUCGCUAUGUUGUUCGAGAUCAGAUUAAUUGAUAUGAGAUUGAGGAGGGAAUCCAUCACAUCAUGUAGGAGUCAUUGUUUCUCUAAGGCCACUGACUUACCUUCCAAGGUAUGUGCUGCCGUUUUUUUCAUGCUGUUUUUUACACCCAGAAUAUACCUUUCCUCAGCCCUGA